rnacentral:rRNA from 1 species
GCCUGACCUCGGAUCAGUCGUGACUACCCGCUGAACUUAAGCAUAU